UACGUAGGUGGCAAGCGUUAUCCGGAUUUAUUGGGCGUAAAAGGAACGCAGGCGGUCUUUUAAGUCUGAUGUGAAAGCCUUCGGCUUAACCGGAGUAGUGCAUUGGAAACUGGGAGACUUGAGUGCAGAAGAGGAGAGUGGAACUCCAUGUGUAGCGGUGAAAUGCGUAGAUAUAUGGAAGAACACCAGUGGCGAAAGCGGCUCUCUGGUCUGUAACUGACGCUGAGGUUCGAAAGCGUGGGUAGCAAACAGG
rnacentral:rRNA from 1 species